rnacentral:misc_RNA from 1 species
GGUAUGUAAUGACCAUCUGAAGUUGAAAGGCGAUAUCCCUGAACCAACUUUGCAAAACCAAUCUGAUUCCCAUUAAUAGCAAACAUCAAAGUUGACUCUAAUGGAGUGGAAAAGAUACGAUCAACUUCAUUUUCAAACAUAAACUGCAUGGGACCCCGAAGAGAACCAGCAUUUGUUUCCACUGACUGAUUUUCUUCAAGUAAUAAAUUUUUUUCACCAGCUUCUUUUGAAGCUCCUCCAGGCAGAAUGUACAGAGCCAGCCCAGUCUUGUCUUCAUCAAGAAUUGCAAACUGAUUUUCAUUGGGACCAAUGAAUACUGCAUCUCGACCUUUAACUGUGUUCCCUUUACUGUUGGCUGGCUGAGAAUCAGUAUUUUCCCAAUAAAGGACCACUUCAUUUGUAGAACCACUGAAUUCAUAAACGACAAGAAAUAGAUGCUGCUUUUUACUGUGAACAAUGAGCUUUGGAUGAAAUUCAACAUUUCCAGGAAUCGAAGUAUAAAGUUUCUUGUAAAUAUUAUCCACUCCAGAGCAGAGAUUAUAUCCCAUGAGGUUCAUUCCAUCAACAUAGAAAGCCCUAACAGGAUAAUGGAGUACUCGGUUCUCUUUAUUAAAGAAAUUUAGCUCCAAAUGAAAAGGCAGGAAAGCAGGAAUAUCCUUCAGAUGAUGCUUGGUAUCCGAAAUAGUGAUGAGAGGCAGCCGAGAUAUUGGAGCAUUUUUGGCAUGGCCUUCCAUAAAAUGACUGUAAAGGAAUGCCUUCCUUGCUAUGUCUGAAAUUGUAAGUUGACUUUGACCACCCUUCAGAUGAUGCUCUUGCAGUUGUGCUUGAAGUUGAUGGUCAGCCAAAAUUCCUGACGAACCCAAGGCUGAUAGCUUUUCCUUCAAAACAGAUGCUGAAGAUCCCCUGGCACUUUGCAGAACUGCAAAGAGCUGUUUCCUUCCUUCCCUUGUGUAUGCAGCCCUAUUUUUCAAAUUGUCGCCACCAGUCAUAUUUGCAAACAGCAGAGCUGCUAAAUUCAAUUUUGAGUGAACUUCUAAGGAUCUAAUACGUGGUAAAGGAUAAACUGCUUCUCCACCCUGCUGAGAUAAAAUUCGAGGGAUGUCAAUUGCUUCAAUCCCAGCAGAUUCAAAAAAAUUUGCUUGCAUUGGAGGUCUAUUAGGAUUAAGUAUCACACGUGUUUUCCAAACUUGAAGAGUUCCAUCCUUGGAAACUGUGACAAGCAACCGCAAAGUUGAGAGCCAAGAAAUUGAUGUGAUUGGUUGAGAACCCACUUGUGUAAUCCCAAUCAUAUUAGGUCUCUCAGUUGAGACAUCCCACGCCAGAAGUGUACCACGUCUA